rnacentral:rRNA from 1 species
AUUGAACGCUGGCGGCAUGCCUUACACAUGCAAGUCGAACGGCAGCACGGGAGCAAUCCUGGUGGCGAGUGGCGAACGGGUGAGUAACAUAUCGGAACGUAUCCAAUAAUGGGGGAUAACGAGUCGAAAGAUUCGCUAAUACCGCAUACGCCCUACGGGGGAAAGCUGGGGACCUUCGGGCCUGGCGUUAAUGGAGCGGCCGAUAUCUGAUUAGCUAGUUGGUGAGGUAAAGGCUCACCAAGGCGACGAUCAGUAGCUGGUCUGGGAGGACGACCAGCCACACUGGAACUGAGACACGGUCCAGACUCCUACGGGAGGCAGCAGUGGGGAAUUUUGGACAAUGGGCGCAAGCCUGAUCCAGCCAUUCCGCGUGAGUGAAGAAGGCCUUCGGGUUGUAAAGCUCUUUCGCAAGGGAAGAAAACUUAGCCACUAACAUUGGUUGAGGUUGACGGUACCUUGAUAAGAAGCACCGGCUAACUACGUGCCAGCAGCCGCCGCGG